rnacentral:rRNA from 1 species
GAUGAACGCUAGCGAUAGGCCUAACACAUGCAAGUCGAGGGGCAUCACAUGAAGUAGCAAUACGGAUGGUGGCGACCGGCGCACGGGUGAGUAACACGUAUGCAACCUGCCUUCAACAAGGGGAUAACCCGUUGAAAGACGGACUAAUACCCUAUAACACAGGGGUCCCGCAUGGGAAUAUUUGUUAAAGGACAACCGGUUGAAGAUGGGCAUGCGUUCCAUUAGCUAGUUGGCGGGGUAAGGGCCCACCAAGGCAACGAUGGAUAGGGGAACUGAGAGGUUUAUCCCCCACACUGGUACUGAGACACGGACCAGACUCCUACGGGAGGCAGCAGUGAGGAAUAUUGGUCAAUGGACGCAAGUCUGAACCAGCCACGUCGCGUGAAGGAAGACGGCCCUACGGGUUGUAAACUUCUUUUGCAAGGGAAUAAAGUGGGCCACGUGUGGCCUUUUGCAAGUACCUUGCGAAUAAGGAUCGGCUAACUCCGUGCCAGCAGCCGCGGUAAUUCACU